AGUUUUGCAUUGGCGAGGCUUCUGGCAAACGUGCCAGGUGGUCAUCUUUGCCAUUUGGACCAACAUAUGGCAGCUGGUUUGGGGAUUCCUCUGUUGUCACCCAGCUGUGGCUUGAGAUACAAAACUGGUUCGCUGUGAUGAGAUACCAAGUCUGGGUGAUGACCACAUACAUCCCAUUGGCAGCCGGAAGAAGCCGCCUACUGCUAUCCUGUCCCUCAGCAUCAAGGAUUCAAAGAUGACCUCAGUAAAAUUUCUGUGUCCUGCUAUAGGGUGCUGUAUUCACCAAGCCAUCUCUCCAGACUCUGAGGCUCCCCUUAAGCACCAAAGUCUGAGGAGUGCUGAUGGCUGGAGGCCCUGGAAGAUUCACUGCGUGGCGGAAAGCUGCUCUUCAUGGAAAGAAAGGCCGUGGAACAGGAUGUGGGCUCUUCCAUCUUAGUUGGCAUGGGACAGUCACAGAGGCUUCCUUGGCUAUUCUGUUCCCUGUGGGGAAUGGGUAGAUGCAGUGUUACUCUAAUGCAGCUGGCAGAGGAGGGUCUGCCGGUCUGUUUCUGGAAACUCACACUUAUUUCUUUAAAGAGUCCACGAGACUGUGAGCUCACAAGUGGAACGCAAGUGCGGCAGGCACCCACAGAAGUCUGGGAAGUGUUGCAUGCCACACCAGGAGAGCUUGAACAUUCACCAGCAGCACCCUCAAGGCUCCCCUGGGCAUGGCUGAGAAGCUGUGGGAGGAUCUGCUAGGAGUUCCUUUGAGUCCUGUUGGUAUUCAGCACUUGGAGACUGCUGCUGUCUGGCUGCCGCCUCCUGGCCAGGUGCCUGGAGGAACACGCCUUGGCUAACAGCCUCAGCCACAGCUCUUUACUAUCUCUGUUCCCAGACAGGACCUCUUCAAGUGAAUUUAGAGCUGGGAACACAGAGAUCAAGACAAGAAGUCGGCAAGUGAUGGACUAUGAAUCCAGGAUGCAGGUUGACACCCACUGAGGUCUAAGGCACUGGGUGGACCAGGAUUUGGCUACAACUUCACCAUAUCUCAUUUGGAAGGGGGCUUCAUCCCAGAUGAAAGGAUGUCUCAAUUAACGUAUAUUUCCUGUUAACGCCACCUCAUUUAUCAGAAAGGCGAGAACACCUUUCUACUACGUGUUUUCCUUCUAAAUACUUGUGUCUCAAAGAAAGUCUAUUCAUUUAAAUGUGACAUUCUUAAAAUAAGCAAUAAAUUGA